AUUGAACGCUGGCGGCAGGCCUAACACAUGCAAGUCGAACGAGUGGCGGACGGGUGAGUAAUGUCGGGGAAACUGCCUGACGGAGGGGGAUAACUACUGGAAACGGUAGCUAAUACCGCAUACCAUCAGAUGUGUCCAGAUGGGAAUAGCGAGUUGUGGGGGUAACGGCUCACCAAGGCGACGAUCCCUAGCUGGUCUGAGAGGAUGACCAACCACACUGGACCUGAAACACGGUCCAGACUCAUACGGGAGGCAGCAGUGGGGAAUAUUGAACAAUGGGCGCAAGCCUGAUGCAGCCAUGCCGCGUGUAUGAAGAAGGCCUUCGGGUUGUAAAGUACUUUCAGCGGGGAGGCGUUACCCGCAGAAGAAGCACCGGCUAACUCCGUGCCAGCAGCCGCGGUAAUUC
rnacentral:rRNA from 1 species